rnacentral:rRNA from 1 species
UAGGGAAUCUUCCGCAAUGGACGAAAGUCUGACGGAGCAACGCCGCGUGAGUGAUGAAGGUUUUCGGAUCGUAAAACUCUGUUAUUAGGGAAGAACAAAUGCGUAAGUAACUGUGCGCAUCUUGACGGUACCUAAUCAGAAAGCCACGGUUAACUACGUGCCAGCAGCCGCGGUAAUACGUAGGUGGCAAGCGUUAUCCGGAAUUAUUGGGCGUAAAGCGCGCGUAGGCGGUUUCUUAAGUCUGAUGUGAAAGCCCACGGCUCAACCGUGGAGGGUCAUUGGAAACUGGGAAACUUGAGUACAGAAGAGGAAAGUGGAAUUCCAUGUGUAGCGGUGAAAUGCGCAGAGAUAUGGAGGAACACCAGUGGCGAAGGCGACUUUCUGGUCUGUAACUGACGCUGAUGUGCGAAAGCGUGGGGAUCAAACA